ACUCCUACGGGAGGCAGCAGUGGGGAAUUUUGGACACUGGGCGAAAGCCUGAUCCAGCAAUGCCGCGUGAGUGAAGAAGGCCUUCGGGUUGUAAAGCUCUUUUGUCAGGGAAGAAACGGUGAAAGCUAAUAUCUUUUGCUAAUGACGGUACCUGAAGAAUAAGCACCGGCUAACUACGUGCCAGCAGCCGCGGUAAUACGUAGGGUGCAAGCGUUAAUCGGAAUUACUGGGCGUAAAGCGUGCGCAGGCGGUUUUGUAAGUCUGAUGUGAAAUCCCCGGGCUCAACCUGGGAAUUGCAUUGGAGACUGCAAGGCUAGAAUCUGGCAGAGGGGGGUAGAAUUCCACGUGUAGCAGUGAAAUGCGUAGAUAUGUGGAGGAACACCGAUGGCGAAGGCAGCCCCCUGGGUCAAGAUUGACGCUCAUGCACGAAAGCGUGGGGAGCAAACAGGAUUAGAAACCCCAGUAGUCCCAUG
rnacentral:rRNA from 1 species